UGGUGACCAGCGGAGGGAUCAUUACCGAGUUUACAACUCCCAAACCCCUGUGAACAUACCUUAAUGUUGCCUCGGCGGAUCAGCCCGCGCCCCGUAAAACGGGACGGCCCGCCAGAGGACCCAAACUCUAAUGUUUCUUAUUGUAACUUCUGAGUAAAACAAACAAAUAAAUCAAAACUUUCAACAACGGAUCUCUUGGUUCUGGCAUCGAUGAAGAACGCAGCAAAAUGCGAUAAGUAAUGUGAAUUGCAGAAUUCAGUGAAUCAUCGAAUCUUUGAACGCACAUUGCGCCCGCUGGUAUUCCGGCGGGCAUGCCUGUUCGAGCGUCAUUUCAACCCUCAAGCCCCCGGGUUUGGUGUUGGGGAUCGGCUCUGCCCUUCUGGGCGGCGCCGCCCCCGAAAUACAUUGGCGGUCUCGCUGCAGCCUCCAUUGCGUAGUAGCUAACACCUCGCAACUGGAACGCGGCGCGGCCAUGCCGUAAAACCCCAACUUCUGAAUGUUGACCUCGGAUCAGGUAGGAAUACCCGCUGAACUUAAGCAUAUCAAUAAGCGGAGGAAAAGAAACCAACAGGGAUUGCCCUAGUAACGGCGAGUGAAGCGGCAACAGCUCAAAUUUGAAAUCUGGCUUUCGGGCCCGAGUUGUAAUUUGUAGAGGAUACUUUUGAUGCGGUGCCUUCCGAGUUCCCUGGAACGGGACGCCAUAGAGGGUGAGAGCCCCGUCUGGUUGGAUGCCAAAUCUCUGUAAAGUUCCUUCGACGAGUCGAGUAGUUUGGGAAUGCUGCUCUAAAUGGGAGGUAUAUGUCUUCUAAAGCUAAAUAUUGGCCAGAGACCGAUAGCGCACAAGUAGAGUGAUCGAAAGAUGAAAAGCACUUUGAAAAGAGAGUUAAAAAGUACGUGAAAUUGUUGAAAGGGAAGCGUUUAUGACCAGACUUGGACUUGGUUAAUCAUCUGGGGUUCUCCCCAGUGCACUUUUCCAGUUCAGGCCAGCAUCAGUUUUCGCCGGGGGAUAAAGGCAGCGGGAAUGUGGCUCUCUUCGGGGAGUGUUAUAGCCCGUUGUGUAAUACCCUGGUGGGGACUGAGGUUCGCGCUCUGCAAG
rnacentral:rRNA from 1 species